GAUGAACGCUGGCGGCGUGCCUAAUACAUGCAAGUCGAGCGAACAGACGAGGAGCUUGCUCCUCUGACGUUAGCGGCGGACGGGUGAGUAACACGUGGAUAACCUACCUAUAAGACUGGGAUAACUUCGGGAAACCGGAGCUAAUACCGGAUAAUAUAUUGAACCGCAUGGUUCAAUAGUGAAAGACGGUUUUGCUGUCACUUAUAGAUGGAUCCGCGCCGCAUUAGCUAGUUGGUAAGGUAACGGCUUACCAAGGCAACGAUGCGUAGCCGACCUGAGAGGGUGAUCGGCCAAACUGGAACUGAGACACGGUCCAGACUCCUACGGGAGGCAGCAGUAGGGAAUCUUCCGCAAUGGGCGAAAGCUUGACGGAGCAACGCCGCGUGAGUGAUGAAGGUCUUCGGAUCGUAAAACUCUGUUAUUAGGGAAGAACAAAUGUGUAAGUAACUAUGCACGUCUUGACGGUACCGAAUCAGAAAGCCACGGCUAACUACGU
rnacentral:rRNA from 1 species